rnacentral:rRNA from 1 species
CCUACGGGUGGCAGCAGUGGGGAAUAUUGGACAAUGGGCGAAAGCCUGAUCCAGCCAUGCCGCGUGUGUGAAGAAGGCCUUCGGGUUGGAAAGCACUUUCAGUGGGGAAGAAAGCCUUGGGGCUAAUACCCUCGAGGAAGGACAUCACCCACAGAAGAAGCACCGGCUAACUCCGUGCCAGCAGCCGCGGUAAUACGGAGGGUGCGAGCGUUAAUCGGAAUUACUGGGCGUAAAGCGCGCGUAGGCGGUCUGAUAAGCCGGUUGUGAAAGCCCCGGGCUCAACCUGGGAACGGCAUCCGGAACUGUCAGGCUAGAGUGCAGGAGAGGAAGGUAGAAUUCCCGGUGUAGCGGUGAAAGGCGUAGAGAUCGGGAGGAAUACCAGUGGCGAAGGCGGCCUUCUGGACUGACACUGACGCUGAGGUGCGAAAGCGUGGGUAGCAAACAGGAUUAGAUACCCCGGUAGUC